rnacentral:rRNA from 1 species
UACGUAGGUGGCGAGCGUUGUCCGGAAUUACUGGGUGUAAAGGGCGUGCAGGCGGUAGGGCAAGUCAGAUGUGAAAGCCCGCGGCUUAACUGCGGGACUGCAACUGAAACUGUACUACUUGAGUGUUGGAGAGGGAAGCGGAAUUCCCAGUGUAGCGGUGAAAUGCGUAGAUAUUGGGAGGAACACCAGUGGCGAAGGCGGCUUUCUGGACAGCAACUGACGCUGAGGCGCGAAAGCGUGGGGAGCAAACAGG